rnacentral:rRNA from 1 species
UGCAAGUCGAACGAGCUUCCGUUGAAUGACGUGCUUGCACUGAUUUCAACAAUGAAGCGAGUGGCGAACUGGUGAGUAACACGUGGGGAAUCUGCCCAGAAGCAGGGGAUAACACUUGGAAACAGGUGCUAAUACCGUAUAACAACAAAAUCCGCAUGGAUUUUGUUUGAAAGGUGGCUUCGGCUAUCACUUCUGGAUGAUCCCGCGGCGUAUUAGUUAGUUGGUGAGGUAAAGGCCCACCAAGACGAUGAUACGUAGCCGACCUGAGAGGGUAAUCGGCCACAUUGGGACUGAGACACGGCCCAAACUCCUACGGGAGGCAGCAGUAGGGAAUCUUCCACAAUGGACGAAAGUCUGAUGGAGCAAUGCCGCGUGAGUGAAGAAGGGUUUCGGCUCGUAAAACUCUGUUGUUAAAGAAGAACACCUUUGAGAGUAACUGUUCAAGGGUUGACGGUAUUUAACCAGAAAGCCACGGCUAACUACGUGCCAGCAGCCGCGGUAAUACGUAGGUGGCAAGCGUUGUCCGGAUUUAUUGGGCGUAAAGCGAGCGCAGGCGGUUUUUUAAGUCUGAUGUGAAAGCCUUCGGCUUAACCGGAGAAGUGCAUCGGAAACUGGGAGACUUGAGUGCAGAAGAGGACAGUGGAACUCCAUGUGUAGCGGUGGAAUGCGUAGAUAUAUGGAAGAACACCAGUGGCGAAGGCGGCUGUCUAGUCUGUAACU